CACUGCAGACAGCGCCCGUCCAGGAAGUCUGCGUAGGAUGCGCACGGAUACGCCGUCAGACUGCACGUGCCGUUGAGGGCGCACAGUCCAUGUCAGUGUGCAGCACGUCUACAAACAUGGCAUCCGACGGGUCCAGCCUCUCAUCUGGUGUGGCACUAGUGAAGAGAGGCCCGGCCGGGUCUAAACCUGAAAGUACAAAGAAGGCACUUGAGAUGUUUCAUAGUAGGAGUGGACAGAUAUCGUAGGUUGGCGCCCACAAAGCCGGCGAGGUGCGCUCCAAGGCUCACGCCGAUGAGGUGCAUGGAGUCCAGUGAGGCUCCUUCCUCCUGAGGAGAAACUCAAGAAUGAAUGA